rnacentral:rRNA from 1 species
UACGGGGGGGGGCAAGCGUUGUUCGGAAUUACUGGGCGUAAAGGGCUCGUAGGCGGCCAACUAAGUCAGACGUGAAAUCCCUCGGCUUAACCGGGGAACUGCGUCUGAUACUGGAUGGCUUGAGUUCGGGAGAGGGAUGCGGAAUUCCAGGUGUAGCGGUGAAAUGCGCAGAUAUCGGGAGGAACACCAAUGGCGAAGGCAGCUCGCUGGGACGGUACUGACGCUGAGACGCGAAAGCGUGGGGAGCAAACAGG